UUAAACGCCACGAGGAAAUUUGAUAUACUUUCCGUCAAAAACUUCUCGCCGCCGCCGCAGUUCCGCCGUGACAACGAUUCAUGCAAAUCGAACGAAAUAGCUUCCAAAUAAAUAAAAAAUAUAUCAUGAACCACAGAUAAUAACCAAAGAUAAUGGAUGCCAAGUACUGAUUGUUGAAGGACAUUGCUUCACAGUUCAUCGCAAAAGGAACUUAGGAGGUGUUACAAAAGUGCGAUGGUUUUGCUCAAAACGUAAUAAAGGAUGCAAGGCUUUUGUAUAUACCAUUGACGAAGAAUUAAUAAUGAAACCUAUAGUUCACAAUCAUUAGAUAUUUCUAAAUUACAGCAUUAAUAAGAAUACACCAAUCAAUAUUUUUAUAAUAAUUUUGAAUCCCAAAACCAUUGAAACGUAUUUUCUCUUUUUAGUAUUGCUAUCAUUGAACUAAAUAUCCGCAGUUUUAGUAUUUCCACGUAGAAAUAAUGUAUUCUGAUCUUAGUCUUAUUUAUUUUCUCUUAUUAAAUAAAAACAUUUGAGAUUGACCUAUUGGUCAGAUUUUUGUAUGUGGUCUGUUUUUAAGUUAUUCAACUAAUGCUAUGCUUUAGACCAGUUAAGCCUUUUUUUCUGUCAGCAUACAACGCCUAAUGAAUUUUAAUCAACCCUCUCAAAUAAUACCGGUGUAAUAAUAAUAUGAUAAUUACCUUUUCCUCUUAGAAGCAAAUUCCGACAGAGUAUUUUACUAUUACGGAAUCUUCAACGAACCUAUUUCCUAUUACUAUUGCUACUUGGACUAUUUCCUAGUACUUUUUCGGUACAAAAUAGUCAUGGAAUCUUUGUUGUAUGAGUUAUCAAAAGGUAUUUAUAUCUAGUGUAUUGUACUCCACAAAUCUAUUUAUACAGAAUAUUGAAUAAAAUUCAACCAUUUAUGGUACAACUGCCAAUAAUUUAAUUAGUCCGAACAAGGCUGUCCGGAAAAGUAGUAACUGCUAAUCGGUGAUUUAUUUGUACUGCAAAGUUGUACGAAAAUCCUUUCCUAUCAUCAUCGUCUAAUAAUUUUUUCUUUACUUUAAUAAUUUGAUUUGAUUGACUGUACCCCAAUUUUUUUUAUAUCUAUAAAUAAAUUUCAUACACAUCAAA